GAUGAACGUUGGCGGCGUGCCUAAUACAUGCAAGUCGAACGAGGACUGUAGUAAUACUGUCUUAGUGGCGAACGGGUGAGUAACGCGUGGGUGACCUGCCCCGAAGUGUGGGAUAACAGUCCGAAAGGAUUGCUAAUACUGCAUAAUAUCCAAGAGAUUAGAUGCUUUUGGAUUAAAGGAGUAAUUCGCUUCGGGAGGGGCCCGCGUCCCAUCAGCUAGUUGGUAAGGUAAUGGCUUACCAAGGCGAUGACGGGUAGGGGACCUGAGAGGGUGGCCCCCACAAUGGAACUGAAACACGGUCCAUACACCUACGGGUGGCAGCAGUAGGGAAUAUUAGUAAUGGGCGAAAGCCUGAACUAGCAACGCCGCGUGUGCGAAGAAGGCCUUCGGGUCGUAAAGCACUUUUGUAGAGGAUGAGGAAGGACGGUACGUCUCAGAAUAAGUACUCGGCUAACUACGUG
rnacentral:rRNA from 1 species